rfam:Heterocephalus glaber contig143956, whole genome shotgun sequence.
GUCUCUGUGACGCAAUUGGUUAGCGCGUUCGGCUGUUACCCGAAAGGUUGGUGGUUCGAGCCCACCCAGGGGCG